rnacentral:ncRNA from 1 species
UUAAAGUUUGAUUUUGGCUUUUGUUUUACUAAUUCUUUAUUUUACAUGUAAGUUUUUGCGUGAUUUUAUAAAAUUUUAAAAAUAUUUAUUAUUUAUUCGCAGUAUUUUAUUUUAAUUUUGAAAGUUAUUUCGAUUUGGUAAAAGUUUAAGUUCAGAAUAAACUUGUGCCAGCAUUCGCGGUUAUACAAGUUGUGCAAGUAAAAAUUUUUGGUUAGUAGUGAGUUUUAUUUUAGUUAAAUUAAUUAAUUAAUAUUAUAGGUGAAAUUUUAAGUUGUUGUUAUAUUUUUAUUAUUUAAAUGAAUCUGCGAAAUUUUUUAUUUAGAGACUAGGAUUAGAUACCCUAUUAUAAUAAAUGUGGAUAUAAACCUGGGUAGUAAUAGAUAUGAUCUUGAAACCUAAAAAAUUUGGCGGUGCUUUAAUCUAUUUAGAGGAACCUGUUCCGUGAUCGAUAGUCCACGAUAAAUUUUACUUGAUUUUGUUUAACUUAUAUACCGUUGUUAUCAGAAUAUUUUAUAAGAAAAUAAUUUUCUUCAUUUUUUAUAAAAAUUUAUUUCAGAUCAAGGUGUAGUUUAUAAUUAAGAGGUAAUGGGUUACAAUAAAUUUAUUUAAAUGGCAAUAAAUUUGUAAAAUUUUAUUAAAGGUGGAUUUAAUAGUAAAAUUUAAAUAUAUAUUUUGGUUGAUAAAGGCUCUAAAGCAUGCACAUAUCGCCCGUCGCUCUUUUUAAUUAAAGAUAAGUCGUAACAUAGUAGAUGUACUGGAAAGUGUAUCUAGAAUGCA